AUCUUUUUGAAGCUCUGUGGAAAGUACUGCCCUCAGGAAAAGCUGACUUCCCUAAAGUCAAGAUGCCAGAACAGACAAUGUCAGUGCCUAUUUCAGCAGAAAGUCAUCUGGGUCAACUUAAAUCACCAAGAUAUUCUGGAUCAUCUCUCAGCUCUCAGAGGAAGCCUUGAAGCUGAUACAAAGAUCUCCACAGACGAC
rnacentral:lncRNA from 1 species